rnacentral:rRNA from 1 species
GACGAACGCUGGCGGCGUGCUUAACACAUGCAAGUCGAACGGAAAGGCCCUGCUUGCAGGGUACUCGAGUGGCGAACGGGUGAGUAACACGUGGGUGAUCUGCCCUGCACUUCGGGAUAAGCCUGGGAAACUGGGUCUAAUACCGGAUAGGAGCCAUUUUUAGUGUGAUGGUUGGAAAGUUUUUUCGGUGUAGGAUGAGCUCGCGGCCUAUCAGCUUGUUGGUGGGGUAAUGGCCUACCAAGGCGGCGACGGGUAGCCGGCCUGGGAGGGUGGACGGCCACAUUGGGACUGAGAUACGGCCCAGACUCCUACGGGAGGCAGCAGGGGGGAAUAUUGCACAAUGGGCGCAAGCCUGAUGCAGCGACGCCGCGUGGGGGAGGACGGCCUUCGGGUUGUAAACUCCUUUCGCUAGGGACGAAGCUUUUUGUGACGGUACCUAGAUAAGAAGCACCGGCUAACUACGUG